GUGCUUCCAGAAUCAUAGCUAUUGACAUCAACAGUGAGAAGUUCCCAAAAGCCAAGGCCCUGGGAGCCACUGACUGCCUUAAUCCCAGAGACCUAGACAAACCUGUCCAAGAUGUCAUCACUGAACUGACGGGUGGAGGUGUGGAUUUCUCCCUGGACUGUGCAGGAACAGCUCAGACCUUGGUACGUGGACUUCUCCCGCCAUCCCCAGUCCUUGAUUCUUACUUCUAAUAAGUUCUUUAAUCACCAAAAUAGCAAGGGGAAAUGAGCCAUGUUUAUAGCAGUAGAUGUUCUUCUUAAUAUUUGCAAAGGCAGACAGAGAAGAACCUCUGCUGUAGGUCACCACCCACUCCCUCAGCCAUGCUAACUUUCCAUCAAAGCUCACUGAUGUGGUUUCUACUGGUUUGUUUUAUGCUAUUGUCAUGAACUACCUGUGUUUGGGGUGCCUAUUAGGAGAAGAGGGUAAUUUACCUUACAUUUUGGAAGCUGAAAAAGUCUACACAGCACAAGGCCAACUUGGGUGACUCUCCCAUCGGUAUCACCUCACCUGAACGGGCUGAUGGCGGGAGAAUGUGUGGUCCCUUAGGGAUCUCUAAAGAUUCCAACAGUUAUCAGCUCACAGAAGACCCGCGCAUGACUCCCUCAAAGGCGUAGUCAGACCAAGUCCGAGUCACGUGAGCGCUUUCCCCAUGCCGGCGUACUCUGUGCGUUCAGGCCUCCAAGAUGGCAGCCAUAUCCCAUACUUCCACGGGCUCGCUCUUCUGGGAUCUCUUCUUGGGCGGAAAACAAUAGUUUCAAAUAUUUGUUCCCAUGAUGAUUCGAACUAUUGCUAAGAGAUAACUUGGGGGUCCCUUUACUUAGCCAGGGGACUUUACCGCUGACCAAGAAUUUGUCACCUUAGUUCUCUGCCUUGGUUCUUCCUGUUUCGCUGUGAGUGGGAAGGAGUUGUGAUGUUUUUCCUUUUGAGUGGCACUGUCAUGCAGCCUGGUUACUAAGCCUCCUCUUAGAAAUGGUUAAAAGGAAUAAAAGCUAUAAAGAAAUA
rnacentral:lncRNA from 1 species